GCCUACGGGGUGCAGCAGUGGGGAAUAUUGGACAAUGGGCGAAAGCCUGAUCCAGCCAUGCCGCGUGUGUGAAGAAGGCCUUCGGGUUGUAAAGCACUUUCAGUGGGGAAGAAAGCCUUGGGGCUAAUACCCUCGAGGAAGGACAUCACCCACAGAAGAAGCACCGGCUAACUCCGUGCCAGCAGCCGCGGUAAUACGGAGGGUGCGAGCGUUAAUCGGAAUUACUGGGCGUAAAGCGCGCGUAGGCGGUCUGAUAAGCCGGUUGUGAAAGCCCCGGGCUCAACCUGGGAACGGCAUCCGGAACUGUCAGGCUAGAGUGCAGGAGAGGAAGGUAGAAUUCCCGGUGUAGCGGUGAAAUGCGUAGAGAUCGGGAGGAAUACCAGUGGCGAAGGCGGCCUUCUGGACUGACACUGACGCUGAGGUGCGAAAGCGUGGGUAGCAAACAGGAUUAGAUACCCCGGUAGUC
rnacentral:rRNA from 1 species